rnacentral:rRNA from 1 species
AGAGUUUGAUCCUGGCUCAGGAUGAACGCUGGCGGCGUGCUUAACACAUGCAAGUCGAACGAAGAUACUGGAGAUGAGAGCUUCGGCAGGAUUUUCCUUUAUCUUAGUGGCGGACGGGUGAGUAACGUGUGGGCAACCUGCCCUGCACUGGGGAAUAAUCAUUGGAAACGAUGACUAAUACCGCAUACGGUUCCCGGGAGGCAUCUUCUGGGAAAGAAAGGAUUUAUUCGGUGCAGGAUGGGCCCGCAUCUGAUUAGCUAGUUGGUGGGAUAACAGCCUACCAAGGCGACGAUCAGUAGCCGACCUGAGAGGGUGACCGGCCACAUUGGGACUGAGACACGGCCCAAACUCCUACGGGAGGCAGCAGUGGGGAAUAUUGCACAAUGGGCGAAAGCCUGAUGCAGCAACGCCGCGUGAAGGAAGAAGGGUUUCGGCUCGUAAACUUCUAUCAACAGGGACGAAAUAAAUGACGGUACCUGAAUAAGAAGCCCCGGCUAACUACGUGCCAGCAGCCGCGGUAAUACGUAGGGGGCAAGCGUUAUCCGGAAUGAUUGGGCGUAAAGGGUGCGCAGGCGGUCCUGCAAGUCUGGAGUGAAACGCAUGAGCUCAACUCAUGCAUGGCUUUGGAAACUGGAGGACUGGAGAGCAGGAGAGGGCGGUGGAACUCCAUGUGUAGCGGUAAAAUGCGUAGAUAUAUGGAAGAACACCAGUGGCGAAGGCGGCCGCCUGGCCUGUUGCUGACGCUGAGGCACGAAAGCGUGGGGAGCAAAUAGGAUUAGAUACCCUAGUAGUCCACGCCGUAAACGAUGAGGACCAAGUGUUGGGGGUGAAACCUCAGUGCUGAAGUUAACGCAGUGAGUCCUCCGCCUGGGGAGUAUGCACGCAAGUGUGAAACUCAAAGGAAUUGACGGGGGCCCGCACAAGCGGUGGAGUAUGUGGUUUAAUUCGAAGCAACGCGAAGAACCUUACCAGGCCUUGACAUGGGAUGCGAAGAUGCAGAGAUGCAUCGGAGGUCAACAUCCACACAGGUGGUGCAUGGUUGUCGUCAGCUCGUGUCGUGAGAUGUUGGGUCAAGUCCCGCAACGAGCGCAACCCUUGUGGCAUGUUGCUAACAGGAAAAGCUGAGGACUCAUGCCAGACUGCCGGUGACAAACCGGAGGAAGGCGGGGAUGACGUCAAAUCAUCAUGCCCCUUAUGGCCUGGGCUACGCACGUACUACAAUGGCGGCUACAAAGAGCAGCGAGACAGGGAUGUCGAGCGAAUCUCAUAAAAGCCGUCCCAGUUCGGAUUGGAGGCUGCAACCCGCCUCCAUGAAGUUGGAAUCGCUAGUAAUCGCGGAUCAGCAUGCCGCGGUGAAUACGUUCCCGGGCCUUGUACACACCGCCCGUCA